rnacentral:rRNA from 1 species
AUUGAACGCUGGCGGCAGGCUUAACACAUGCAAGUCGAGCGGAGUGAUGGUGCUUGCACUAUCACUUAGCGGCGGACGGGUGAGUAAUGCUUAGGAAUCUGCCUAUUAGUGGGGGACAACAUCUCGAAAGGGAUGCUAAUACCGCAUACGUCCUACGGGAGAAAGCAGGGGACCACUUGUGACCUUGCGCUAAUAGAUGAGCCUAAGUCGGAUUAGCUAGUUGGUGGGGUAAAGGCCUACCAAGGCGACGAUCUGUAGCGGGUCUGAGAGGAUGAUCCGCCACACUGGGACUGAGACACGGCCCAGACUCCUACGGGAGGCAGCAGUGGGGAAUAUUGGACAAUGGGGGGAACCCUGAUCCAGCCAUGCCGCGUGUGUGAAGAAGGCCUUAUGGUUGUAAAGCACUUUAAGCGAGGAGGAGGCUCUUUUGGUUAAUACCCAAGAUGAGUGGACGUUACUCGCAGAAUAAGCACCGGCUAACUCUGUGCCAGCAGCCGCGGUAA